rnacentral:rRNA from 1 species
GAUCAUGGCUCAGGAUAAACGCUGGCGGCAUGCCUAAUACAUGCAAGUCGAACGGAGUUACCUUCGGGUAACUUAGUGGCGAACGGGUGAGUAACACGUAGGUAAUCCAUCCCAAGGACGAGGAUAGCUUCUGGAAACGGAAGGUAAAACUGGAUAGUUAAUUAGAGGGCAUCCUCUAAUUAUUAAAAGAGCAAUCUACCCUGGGAAGAGCCUGCGGCGCAUUAGCUAGUUGGUGAGGUAAUGGCCCACCAAGGCGAUGAUGCGUAGCCGGACUGAGAGGUCGACCGGCCACAUUGGGACUGAGACACGGCCCAGACUCCUACGGGAGGCAGCAGUAGGGAAUUUUCGGCAAUGGGCGGAAGCCUGACCGAAGCAAUGCCGCGUGAAUGAUGAAGUAUUUCGGUAUGUAAAGUUCUUUUAACAGGGACGAAAAAACAAAUUGACGGUACCUGUUGAAUAAGCUCCGGCUAACUACGUGCCAGCAGCUGC